GACGAACGCCGGCGGCGUGCCUAAUACAUGCAAGUAGAACGCUGAAGGAGGAGCUUGCUUCUCUGGAUGAGUUGCGAACGGGUGAGUAACGCGUAGGUAACCUGCCUGGUAGCGGGGGAUAACUAUUGGAAACGAUAGCUAAUACCGCAUAAUAUUGACUAUUGCAUGAUAGUCAGUUGAAAGGUGCAACUGCACCACUACCAGAUGGACCUGCGUUGUAUUAGCUAGUUGGUGGGGUAACGGCUCACCAAGGCGAGGAUACAUAGCCGACCUGAGAGGGGGGUCGGCCACACUGGGACUGAGACACGGCCCAGACUCCUACGGGAGGCAGCAGUAGGGAAUCUUCGGCAAUGGACGGAAGUCUGACCGAGCAACGCCGCGGGAGUGAAGAAGGUUUUCGGAUCGUAAAGCUCUGUUGUAAGAGAAGAACGAGUGUGAGAGUGGAAAGCUCACACUGUGACGGUAUCUUACCAGAAAGGGACGGCUAACUACGUG
rnacentral:rRNA from 1 species